GACGAACGCUGGCGGCGUGCUUAACACAUGCAAGUCGAACGGGGUCCAUCUGGUCGCAAGACCAGAGAAGACCGAGUGGCGAACGGGUGCGUAACACGUGAGAAACCUGUCCCGGUCUCUGGAAUAACAGUCGGAAACGACUGCUAAUACCGGAUGCCGUCGGAGCGUCGCAUGGCGCGCUGACGAAAGGGCUACCGGAUCGGGAGGGUCUCGCGGCCUAUCAGCUUGUUGGUGAGGUAACGGCUCACCAAGGCAUCGACGGGUAGCUGGUCUGAGAGGAUGAUCAGCCACACUGGGACUGAGACACGGCCCAGACUCCUACGGGUGGCUG
rnacentral:rRNA from 1 species